ACGAACGCUGGCGGCGUGCUUAACACAUGCAAGUCGAACGAUGAACUCCAGCUUGCUGGGGGGAUUAGUGGCGAACGGGUGAGUAACACGUGAGUAACCUGCCCUUGACUCUGGGAUAAGCGCUGGAAACGGCGUCUAAUACCGGAUACGAGCUUCAGCCGCAUGGCUAGGAGUUGGAAAGAAUUUUGGUCAAGGAUGGACUCGCGGCCUAUCAGUUAGUUGGUGAGGUAAUGGCUCACCAAGACGACGACGGGUAGCCG
rnacentral:rRNA from 1 species